rnacentral:snRNA from 1 species
ACGCUCGCUUUGGCAGCACAUGUACUAAAAUUGGAACGAUGAAGGGAAGAUUAGCAUGGUUGCUGCACAAGAUGACAUGCUGGACUCUCCAUCUUUGU